CUGAGUUCGGGGGCAAUCCCGGUCCCGACCUCCAACCCCUUGUGAACAUAUCUUGUUGCUUCGGGGGCGACCCUGCCGUCCGCGGCAUUCCCCCCGGAGGUCAUCAAAACACUGCAUUAUUACGUCGGAGUAAAAAGUUAAUUUAAUA
rnacentral:misc_RNA from 1 species